rnacentral:rRNA from 1 species
GAUGAACGCUGGCGGCGUGCCUAAUACAUGCAAGUCGAGCGAAUGGAUUAAGAGCUUGCUCUUAUGAAGUUAGCGGCGGACGGGUGAGUAACACGUGGGUAACCUGCCCAUAAGACUGGGAUAACUCCGGGAAACCGGGGCUAAUACCGGAUAACAUUUUGAACCGCAUGGUUCGAAAUUGAAAGGCGGCUUCGGCUGUCACUUAUGGAUGGACCCGCGUCGCAUUAGCUAGUUGGUGAGGUAACGGCUCACCAAGGCAACGAUGCGUAGCCGACCUGAGAGGGUGACCGGCCACACGGGGACUGAGACACGGCCCAGACUCCUACGGGAGGCAGCAGUAGGGAAUCUUCCGCAAUGGACGAAAGUCUGACGGAGCAACGCCGCGUGAGUGAUGAAGGCUUUCGGGUCGUAAAACUCUGUUGUUAGGGAAGAACAAGUGCUUGUUGAAUAAGCUGGCACCUUGACGGUACCUAACCAGAAAGCCACGGCUAACUACGUGCCAGCCGCCGCCGUAA